rnacentral:rRNA from 1 species
GACGAACGCUGGCGGCGUGCUUAACACAUGCAAGUCGAACGAAGUGGCGAACGGGUGAGUAACGGGUAAUCAACCUGCCCUUCAGAGGGGGACAACAGUUGGAAACGACUGCUAAUACCGCAUACUGAAGGAGGGGAUUGCGUCUGAUUAGCUAGUGGGAGGGGUAACGGCCCACCAAGGCGAUGUGCAGUAGCCGGUCUGAGGGGAGGAACGGCCAAAGUGGGACUGGGACACGGGCCAGACUCCUACGGGAGGCAGCAAGGGGGAAUCUUCCGCAAUGGACGGAAGGCUGACGGAGCAACGCCGCGGGAGUGAUGACGGCCUUCGGGUUGUAAAGCUCUGUUAAUCGGGACGCGGUACCUGAAUAGAAAGCCACGGCUAACUACGUGCCAGCAGCCGCGGUAAUAC